AACGAACGCUGGCGGCGUGCUUAACACAUGCAAGUCGAACGAUGAAGCCCUUCGGGGUGGAUUAGUGGCGAACGGGUGAGUAACACGUGGGCAAUCUGCCCUUCACUCUGGGACAAGCCCUGGAAACGGGGUCUAAUACCGGAUAACACCGGCCUUCGCAUGGAGGCUGGUUAAAAGCUCCGGCGGUGAAGGAUGAGCCCGCGGCCUAUCAGCUUGUUGGUGGGGUAAUGGCCCACCAAGGCGACGACGGGUAGCCGGCCUGAGAGGGCGACCGGCCACACUGGGACUGAGACACGGCCCAGACUCCUACGGGAGGCAGCAGUGGGGAAUAUUGCACAAUGGGCGAAAGCCUGAUGCAGCGACGCCGCGUGAGGGAUGACGGCCUUCGGGUUGUAAACCUCUUUCAGCAGGGAAGAAGCGAAAGUGACGGUACCUGCAGAAGAAGCGCCGGCUAACUACGUGCCAGCAGCCGCAGUAAAAC
rnacentral:rRNA from 1 species